AAGCGAAACCGCCCUGCGGGGCGGUAGCCCGGCGGUGGCGCGCCGGGCCUGAC
rnacentral:hammerhead_ribozyme from 1 species